AUUGAACGCUGGCGGCAUGCCUUACACAUGCAAGUCGAACGGCAGCACGGGUGCUUGCACCUGGUGGCGAGUGGCGAACGGGUGAGUAAUACAUCGGAACGUACCUUAUCGUGGGGGAUAACGCAGCGAAAGCUGUGCUAAUACCGCAUACGCCCUGAGGGGGAAAGCGGGGGAUCGCAAGACCUCGCGCGAUUAGAGCGGCCGAUGCCUGGUUAGCUAGCUGGUGGGGUAAAAGCCCACGAAGGCGACGAUCAGUAGCUGGUCUGAGAGGACAAUCAGCCACACUGGGACUGAGACACGGCCCAGACUCCUACGGGAGGCAGCAGUGGGGAAUUUUGGACAAUGGGGGCAACCCUGAUCCAGCAAUGCCGCGUGAGUGAAGAAGGCCUUCGGGUUGUAAAGCUCUUUUGUCAGGGAAGAAACACCGGCUCUAACACAGUUCGGGAAUGACGGUACCUGAAGAAUAAGCACCGGCUAACUACGUGCCAGCCGCCGCGGUAA
rnacentral:rRNA from 1 species